rnacentral:tRNA from 1 species
GGGCGGUUAGCUCAGCGGUAGAGCAUUGCCUUCACACGGCAAGGGUCGCAGGUUCGAACCCUGCAUCGCCCA